AUUGAACGCUGGCGGAAUGCUUUACAUAUGCAAGUCGAACGGCAGCACGGACUUCGGUCUGGUGGCGAGUGGCGAACGGGUGAGUAAUGUAUCGGAACGUGCCCAGUCGUGGGGGAUAACGUAGUGAAAAUUACGCUAAUACCGCAUACGAUCUAUGGAUGAAAGCGGGGGACCGUAAGGCCUCGCGCGAUUGGAGCGGCCGAUAUCAGAUUAGGUAGUUGGUGGGGUAAAGGCUCACCAAGCCGACGAUCUGUAGCUGGUCUGAGAGGACGACCAGCCACACUGGAACUGAGACACGGUCCAGACUCCUACGGGAGGCAGCAGUGGGGAAUUUUGGACAAUGGGCGCAAGCCUGAUCCAGCCAUUCCGCGUGCAGGAUGAAGGCCCUCGGGUUGUAAACUGCUUUUGUACGGAACGAAAAGGCUCUGGUUAAUACCUGGGGCUCAUGACGGUACCGUAAGAAUAAGCACCGGCUAACUACGUGCCAGCAGCCGCCGUAA
rnacentral:rRNA from 1 species